CAGAGCAAGCUGCAAGUGGUUGGAGAAGUGGUGCAGAAGCUCCAGGUCUCUCUGCAUCCUCACAAUGCCUCGGACGCGUCAGCAAAGGGAUCGGACAGUCUGCAGCUAUUGGAUGAAGCGCAGGCAGGAGUCCGGCUGCUGAAAGCCCAGCUGGGUAACGUCAGUGCAGCGUAUGGAGAAAUCCAGAUCCGGCUGGACAAUGUCAGUGCAGCGCGAGGAGCAGUGCAAGGUCGCUGCAGUGACGUGCUGACAAAGCUCUCCAGGGGCUGGAGGUUUUACGGUGGGAACCUCUAUUACUUUUCACAAGAAAAAAAGUCGUGGGAUGAGGCUGAGCAGUUGUGUGUGUCUCAGGACUCGCACCUGACCUCUGUCUCCUCCCAGGCAGAAGAGGUGAGCGCAGGAACCUCCCAGGGGUUUGGAUAAUGGGUCAGGGCCUUGUUUCAUACCAGAAGGAGGUGGAAGGUGGCAGCUGAGGUUGCAAAUCUAUGAUGUGCGUUGUGGCAAAUUAUCCCACAAGGGAUGCGAAGCCUUGGAACCCGACA